rnacentral:rRNA from 1 species
ACGAACGCUGGCGGCAGGCUUAACACAUGCAAGUCGAACGGAUCCUUCGGGAUUAGUGGCAGACGGGUGAGUAACGCGUGGGAACGUACCCUUUGCUACGGAAUAACUCAGGGAAACUUGAGCUAAUACCGUAUGUGCCCUACGGGGGAAAGAUUUAUCGGCAAAGGAUCGGCCCGCGUUGGAUUAGCUAGUUGGUGGGGUAAUGGCCUACCAAGGCGACGAUCCAUAGCUGGUCUGAGAGGAUGAUCAGCCACACUGGGACUGAGACACGGCCCAGACUCCUACGGGAAGCAGCAGUGGGGAAUAUUGGACAAUGGGCGCAAGCCUGAUCCAGCCAUGCCGCGUGAGUGAUGAAGGUCUUAGGAUUGUAAAGCUCUUUCACCGGUGAAGAUAAUGACGGUAGCCGGAGAAGAAGCCCCGGCUAACUUCGUG